UAUAAAUUCAACAUUUUAAGAACACUGAAAAUUGGUGAUAAAUAAAUAAAAUAUGCCCUCUAUUCUGCAAAAACAAAAGCUUAUUUGUUUAAGGAAGUCACGUGUUUUCCAUGAAAAUGAACUUACGCGUGAAAAAGACAACUUCCAAAAAAUCAUCCUUCUAUGAUCUUGGCUUUGUUUUUUGUAUAUGUUGGUUGUUUUAAAAUUUUUCUUUGAAAGUCACACACUUAGAAGUCUUAUGAAAAUCAAAAUGUCAACAUUGUCACAUUGAUCAUCUUACAGUUCUCGUGAUUGCCAUUAACAACAGUGUUUAUGAAGUACACAACUGCCCACAGUUUUCAAUAGAGCACAAUCUCUGGUGAUAUUUUCCAAAUAAAGUGUUGCCACAUACACUCUAUUUAGUUAUCGAGAUAUAGGUAAAGCAAGUAGUGUUUGACUUCAAGGUGUUAGUUUCCAAACAUCACCGAGUUCUUUGUAUGAUCGAAGGGACUGACUGCUCAUCUGCUAUGCCUGACAGGUUUACUGUUGUUGAUGUCAGCUCUUCCUCUAAGGGAUCCUCUUGGGUAGUGUAGUGUCACCAAGGCAUGACCUUAACAUUCUACACAAAUUAUGGUCACUAUAGAGAUAACCAUGGGCUUCUCCUGUGGGGAUGAAAUCUGUACACAUCUCUGAAUCUACCUGAGAAAAAAUGGGGCAAUCUGAGUACUCUCACAAAAAUACUCUGAACAAUGACAUUACUGAUACUGGUCUUGGGCUUAGUCUGACUGUUGAACGAUCCAGCAUCAGUGAUUCUAAACCUGUCGAAACUGUCAUCAACUCCAUUCUUGCCCAUCUUUCUGCAAUGCCUUUUCCCAACUCUCCACCUCUGCUCCAGCCCACCGCCAAGUCAAGCUGCCUCUCCGCUGCUGAGUUAAUCUGAUCUCAGUAGCUUACCUCUCAUCACUUGUCUGCGUGUUGCCGCUCUGCUCAUCUUGAUUAGGACUGCCCCACUGCCUGAACGAUGCUGUGUUCACAGUCUGACACAGCUCACAUCUCUUUGAGGUAAUGCAUGAUUCAAGGCUCAUCUAUUUGAGGGAAGAGGUGCAUGUCAGCUGCUCCAUUUUAAGCGGAAACCCAGAUUAUGUUCACUUCCAAUUAUACUAAGUGAGUGUCAGUGGAUAUUUAAUUAUGCAUUACCACUGGCAUAUUGAAAAAUAGGCAUUUCGACAAAAACAUUUCAGUUUCUUUUUUUUCUCCUUAGUAUCCUGUCAUCAGCCAGUUAAAAACCAAUCUUAGAUAUAUCAUCAUCAUGAUAUUAAAAAAGAACAAGAGUGAGACUUCCCUGGCAGUCCAGUGGUUAGGACUCCAACUUUCUUAUUGCCAAGGGCCGAGUUCAGUCCUAGUAAGGGAACCAAGAUCCCACAAGCCAGAUGGCAUGGUCACAAAAAAAAAAAAAAAAAGCAAGAUUUAGAAAAGUGACUUUAAACUUGAGGAAAUUUC
rnacentral:lncRNA from 1 species